AUGGUGCCCAAGGAGCUCAUCACGCAGCGCCUCCAGUCCGGCGCCGCCACGGGCCGCUCCUGGCAGAUCCUGCAGACCGACGGCUUCUUCGGGCUCUACGCCGGCUACGCCGCCACGCUCCUCCGCAACCUCCCCGCCGGCGUGUCAGCUACUCCUCCUUCGAGUACCUCAAGGCCUUCGCCCUCAGCAAGAGCAACGGCGCCAACCUGGCGCCGGGGGAGAGCGUGCUGUGCGCUGUGCGGCGCCCUCGCCGGCGCGAUAUCCGCCGGGCUCACCACCCCGCUCGACGUCGUCAAGACGCGGCUGAUGACCAGGGUGGGCACCCAGGGGAGCCGCACGGUGGUGGGCACGAUGCAGGAGAUCAUCGCCGAGGAAGGCCUGAUGGGCCUGUCCCGGGGGAUCGGGCCGAGGGUCCUGCACAGCGCCUGCUUCGCUGCGAUUGGCUACUGCGCUUUUGAGACCGCCAGGCUCAUGAUCCUCAAGUCAUACCUUGAAUCGUGCGAAAGGAAAGCCGCGGAUGAGGUGAAGACCGGAGUUGCUGCUGCUUGA
rnacentral:rRNA from 1 species